GAUGAAGAACGUAGCGAAAUGCGAUAAGUAAUGUGAAUUGCAGAAUUCAGUGAAUCAUCGAAUCAUUGAACGCACAUUGCGCCCUCUGGUAUUCCGGGGGGCAUGCCUGUUCGAGCGUCAUUAUAACCACUCAAGCUCUCGCUUGGUAUUGGAGUUCGCGAUCUCGCGGCUCCUAAAAUCAGUGGCGGUGCCUGUCGGCUCUACGCGUAGUAAUACUCCUCGCGAUUGAGUCCGGUAGGUUUACUUGCCAGCAACCCCCAAUUUUUACAGGUUGACCUCGGAUCAGGUAGGGAUACCCGCUGAACUUAAGCAUAUCAAUAAGCGGAGGA
rnacentral:misc_RNA from 1 species